CGAGUCUUAACUGGGCGAAUUAGUUGCAGGGUAUAGACCCGAAACCCGGUGAUCUAGCCAUGGGCAGGUUGAAGGUUGGGUAACACUAACUGGAGGACCGAACCGACUAAUGUUGAAAAAUUAGCGGAUGACUUGUGGCUGGGGGUGAAAGGCCAAUCAAACCGGGAGAUAGCUGGUUCUCCCCGAAAGCUAUUUAGGUAGCGCCUCGUGAAUUCAUCUCCGGGGGUAGAGCACUGUUUCGGCUAGGGGGUCAUCCCGACUUACCAACCCGAUGCAAACUGCGAAUACCGGAGAAUGUUAUCACGGGAGACACACGGCGGGUGCUAACGUUCGUCGUGAAGAGGGAAACAACCCAGACCGCCGGCUAAGGUCCCAAAGUCAUAAUUAAGUGGGAAACGAAGUGGGAAGGCUCAGACAGCCAGGAUGUUGGCUUAGAAGCAGCCAUCAUUUAAAGAAAGCGUAAUAGCUCACUGGUCGAGUCGGCCUGCGCGGAAGAUGUAACGGGGCUAAAUUAUGCACCGAAGCCGCGGCAGCGAUAUGUAAAUAUUGUUGGGUAGGGGAGCGUUCUGUAAGCC
rnacentral:rRNA from 1 species